GGCUUAAUGUUUUUGUAUUGCAUAAAUAUGACAAGUAACUAUCCACUUAGCAGUAAGUUCGUCAUUAUCUUUAUAUUCGUCAUCAAAUGGAUUUAAUAUUAUGGUUGUAUUCAUGGAUCUUUCUGGACAGUGGGUGAUGUGUGUCGGCCGUUAACGUUAGCAUAUCUCCAUGGACAGCUAAGUGUCUAUGAUGUUAAAUUAUUAGGCCUAUGUUGAGUAUAACUAUUUUAUUCGUAAGUAUAAAAUGGAAGUUAACACAUCUCCUCCCAGUCGUUGUUUGGAAUUUUAGCCUUAGUCUCCCGGCCAGUUUCAUAAAUUUUCAUCAGCCAGCGAACAUUUUGUCCGAUGGGCAUGUGUAAUUUCUAGAAGUGCUAGUUCUUCAGAAAAAGGAUACGUGCCUAAGUACACUAAACCAACGUUAGUUCUGCUGCUGUGUUGUUCCGGUUUUUAUUCCAAACUUCCAUUUUCACUCCUAAUGUUCACCCUGACGUGAACAGGAAAUGUGCAUGAUAUCAUUUGACUGUUGUAGGCCCCUAGAGUACUUCUAGGUGUUUUCAUGACCGAUGUCAGUUAACUUUUUGGGAGCCAACGCAUGUGAGGCGAAACGUGUUUUUUACCUGACUUGGGAGUCAAAUGUUUUGAAUGUCUACUAUACAUUGAUUAAGGCAUUUUCACGCACGAGCAGGAAACAAUGAUACAUUACUAAUACUUAAUUCAAGUCAGUGGCAGGAAAUGAUAAACCAUAACCAGCAACGCAUUAAUUACAGCAAUGCAUUACUUUUUCUGCAACUCAGAGAAUACCUUAAGUUUGGCAGUUUUUUAGCAACUCAGUCAACAUUGCAUGUAAGCUUAACACAAUAAUGCAUAUUUUUUUCUUUUUUGUGUCACUCCUCACCACAUAUGGCAGAUUUAGUGUGAAGAGCCACCUGUACAAGAUUCCUGGGACAGCAGAACAUGCACCUCACGCACUACCCUGGCACCCUGGCUGAACAACCCGCAGCACAUCAUCUCCAGCUGAGAGGGGGACUCAUACAUUCAUUUGAAAUCAGCUCUACUGAGCGUAACACAACUCUUGCAAUCAAAUUUGGCAGAGGCUCUGAAGGCCACAUAGCCAGCAAGGUACACUGACACAUUGCCCUCAAUGACGUCCAGCCCCUUCAUGAACUCUGUGUUGUCCAGUCCAGGGAAUGUGGGUUCCUCAUCAGUAGACUGUACGUGAGGCAUGGUCAGUGCGGUGCAUGGAUGGGGAGUUGCCAUCUGCGAUGACUCAGUGCAGCUCUACAAAAUCAUUGCAAAUGAUUACAGACUUACAGUAUACUAAUCAUGUGUGACACUUUUGUUUUUGAAAGGGUGUUUCGUGUACCUCGUGAGGCAUGGUCAGUGCGGUGCAUGGAUGGGGAGUUGCCAUCUGCGAUGACUCAGUGCAGCUCUACAAAAUCAUUGCAAAAGAUUACAGACUUACAGUAUACUAAUCAUGUGUGACACUUUUGUUUUUGAAAGGGUGUUUCGUCUACCUCAAACAAAUGGGACAAUUGCAGCAAUAGGUGUAUUUCCUCCGGUUCGCAAUUUGUAUUUCUCCCAAAUGUCAUUAGAUAGUCUAGCACGGCCUGCCUGUAGUCUAAUCGGAAUUGCUGAGGGUCUGGAUUGUCCCUGUGCCCGCCCUUCGCUCUGAUCACCCCAAAGAAGUGUUCCAGGCAGUCCUGGUUGAGGUGCCUCGUAAAUAGAAACUGAAAUCCUUUCUCUGUGAAUGCAAAUGACAAACAGUACAUUGGCCAACAGCAGAAAACAUGCAGUGGUGGACAAAGCUCAUUAGCAUUAGCAAAGCUCAAUUUGAAUAAUUAUGCCUUAUUGCUGCUACCUUUCAAUUCAGCCCAGAUUUCCUUGAUUGCUCUUAGGUUAUGCCUCCAACCAUUUAGGCAAUUCAAGCUGUUGCCACUGGCACAUCUGACAGAUGCCAGCCAGUUAAUACUCUCAUUGAUAAAAUCAAUAUGUGUCUCUCUGAAGGCAUCCUUUUGUGGUGUGCUGCUGGACAAUGUGCUACUGUUAAAGCAGUCAAACAUCUGGUUAAAGUGGGCUACAAAAUCUGCCGUCGUUUUUGCCCCCUCUCUUAGCUUCCCCAUGUCUGCCAUGGUGAGCAGUGCAGCCGCAACAGAAUGACUAAGAACCUGUAAUAAAAAAAUAAAAAAAAUCCCAUUUUCAGGACCAUAGAUAAAGAUUGUAAAUUGAAUGUUAUACGCCUGCAUGACAGUUUUCACUUGUGGCUUACCUGAGUGGCGAGAGGCACACUCAUUGUUGAAAAGGCAGUGAGGGACAGAUGCCGUUGGGUUAACUUGGGUGCCAUUCGGUGUUGUCUUUGUGAAUCAAUUUUAAACAUUUCAGUGAUGUCUCCCCAUUCUGCCAAUUUGUCCCCUAUGUAAAAUCCAUAUUUUCGCAAAUUGUUUCUGAUGUUUUUCAUUAAAUGGGGGGGGUCGAAUAAAAAAUGAAUCUUCUGGCUUUUGACAAAGAAGUACGGUUUUUCUUCUGUUAUACCCAGGUUUCUACAGGCUGCCAGGUUGUUGCUGCCUUGGUCCAUUACCAGCACCAUGGGAGUGAAGCCAGUGUCAAGCACCUUUUCCACCGCCUCCAUGAUUUUGGUUUUUAAGACCCCAUGCUUCAUGGUCCCAGAUGACAAGAAGUACCCUAUGGGUUGUUUCCAUUUCCCAGUUAGACUACGGAUCAUGAAAACCCCUGCAUGGUUGGCUGGUCUUCCCCCUUCGUCAUACCCUUCUACUUCAUCUUUCGAGAUGUUAUAAUUUAGGCUACAUUUCAAUGUAAUUUCAUCAAAUGUGAUGGCAACGUGCCUAUCUCGCUCUUCCAUAUGCUGCACUUGAUGUUUAAGUGCAUACAGCACAGGUUCAUGCCAUCCCGGCCCGAUGUCUACUCUCUGCAAGAUAUUUGAAAGGGUCCUGGCUGUAGGGAGCUUGAAAAUUCUCCUCAUGGUUCGGUAGGCUUUUGGCCCUGUACCCUUAACCUGUAACGCCCAACUUUUCAUGAAGUUGCUCCACCGAAUGGCCCUUGGUUUUUUUUUGGCAUUAUCAAUUUGCUCGUUGACAAAUUGUGCGGCUUGUUUUGGCAAUACUUUGGAAAUUUCCCUCUUUAAUGUUUGUUUGCUGAUAGAUGGUGUCUUUUUCUUUAGCCUUGACAGCUUUGAUUUGUAGCAGCCAAUUUUUCUUUUCAGUUUUUCCACUGUGUUGUCAUUGCUGACACUGGCCAGUACAUCAGUGCCUAAAAAGAAAUGUGACAACUGUAACAACAGACUUAUGCACAGACUACUACCUAUGCAGUGUUCAACACUCAGAAUGUAUCUGUUACCACCAUUUGCCAUUAAAUCACUUACUAUCCAGGA